rnacentral:rRNA from 1 species
CCUACGGGAGGCAGCAGUGGGGGAUAUUGCACAAUGGGGGAAACCCUGAUGCAGCGACGCCGCGUGUGGGAAGACGGUCCUCUGGACUGUAAACCACUGUCCCCAGGGACGAAGAUGACGGUACCUGGGGAGGAAGCUCCGGCUAACUACGUGCCAGCAGCCGCGGUAAUACGUAGGGAGCGAGCGUUGUCCGGAAUUACUGGGUGUAAAGGGAGCGUAGGCGGGACUGCAAGUUGGGUGUCAAAUCUACCGGCUCAACCGGUAGCCGCACUCAAAACUGCAGUUCUUGAGUGAAGUAGAGGCAGGCGGAAUUCCUAGUGUAGCGGUGAAAUGCGUAGAUAUUAGGAGGAACACCAGUGGCGAAGGCGGCCUGCUGGGCUUUUACUGACGCUGAGGCUCGAAAGUGUGGGGAGCAAACAGGAUUAGAUACCCCUGUAGUC